rnacentral:rRNA from 1 species
AGAGUUUGAUCCUGGCUCAGAAUCAACGCUGGCGGCGUGCCCAACACAUGCAAGUCGAACGCGAAAGGGGCUUCGGUCCUGAGUAGAGUGGCGGACGGGUGAGUAACACGUGGAUGACCUGCCCUCGAGUGGGGGAUAACUCUUCGAAAGGGGAGCUAAGACCGCAUGAGCUCCCGGGGGCGACUCUGGGAGGAAAGCCUUAGGGUGCUGGAGGAGGGGUCCGCGACCGAUUAGCUGGUUGGUGGGGUAAGGGCCUACCAAGGCGACGAUCGGUAGCCGGUCUGAGAGGACGGACGGCCACACUGGAACUGAGAGACGGUCCAGACUCCUACGGGAGGCAGCAGUGGGGAAUUUUGCGCAAUGGGCGCAAGCCUGACGCAGCAACGCCGCGUGGAGGAUGAAGGUUUUCGGAUUGUAAACUCCUGUCCCGGGGGAAGAAGGCAGUGACGGUACCCUGGGAGGAAGCCCCGGCUAACUCCGUGCCAGCAGCCGCGGUAAUACGGGGGGGGCGAGCGUUGUUCGGAAUAACUGGGCGUAAAGGGCGCGUAGGCGGCCUGGGCAGUCCUGGGUGAAAGCCCCCGGCUCAACCGGGGAAGGGCCUGGGAAACCACUGGGCUGGAGUGCUGGAGAGGGAGGCGGAAUUCCUGGUGUAGCGGUGAAAUGCGUAGAGAUCAGGAGGAACAUCGGCGGCGAAGGCGGCCUUCUGGACAGACACUGACGCUGAGGCGCGAAAGCCGGGGGAGCAAACAGGAUUAGAUACCCUGGUAGUCCCGGCUGUAAACGAUGGUGACUUGGUGUGGGGGGUGACAAAGUCCCUCCGUGCCGGCGACAACUCGUUAAGUCACCCGCCUG